UACACCUGUAAGGAAACUCCCUGCUCAGUGCCCAUGGAAAACACCUCCCAGGGCGGCGAUGAGGGGAAGGAAGGGGACCAAUGCUCCAGGAGAAACUCUAUGAUGGACCACUUCUAGUGCUCCAGGCCAUGGCUCUAACAUCCAGAGGCUACAAUUCCUGCCCGUUUUCCAGGAAGAGAGCACCUCAGUGGUCUGGCUGCCACACUCCCAAGGCCAGGUUUCCUAUUUAGCUCAGCUGAUAUGGCUGCUCCCCGUUGUUUGCUCUGCUGCAUCUCGGAGCUCUAAGGAACCAGCCAGCAUCCUUAGAAUCACAGGCAGGCAAAGAAGGGAAGAGAAGGAAGAAUUCUUAAACAGUCAGUGCAGACUGCCAAGCAAAAGGGCAGCACCAGGAACUAAAUGCUGACAUGAUGCCCCUACCUAAAGACCUUUGUCUCCAGUCCUCUAUGGUAGCUGGCUCCUUCACCCACCUUUGCUUUCUGUCUUGGUCACAACUCAACGGCUACUGCAGUUUCCUAAGACCCUGUUUUCCAACCCAAGCUGGGAGAGUAGAGCUCAGUUCUAUCUACCACUUCCAUGAUGUUUGACUCAGAGCCCGGCAAGCUGGUGGCAAACACCAACUCUCCUUUCCCCACACAGGGUGGUGGUGGUGAUGUCAGUCUUUGGCCUGCUGCUAUGUUGGCCUUAGAGGGCCUAACAGCUGCCCCUCAUGUCCAUGUCUCUAGACUGCUUCUCUGAGCUUCAGAUCUUAUCGCUAAUGGCCCACUGACACAUCUACUUUGAACCGCCUCCUAUCAAACCGCAGCCAGCCGUAUCCUCCCGCUGCUACAGUAUUCUGUUUCCUGUCAACUGUGCUGUGCUGCCUCUGAGGCCUGAAAACUUGAGUGAGCAGUUCUGUGCCUUCUCCACUUACCCACCUGAAGCCUGUGCUGUGCCUCCUCCUGCCUCAGCUCCCCACUGGCAGGUGAAUUCUGCAAGAUCACUCAGGAGUGCCCUCAACUCUUGUCCUCCCUACACUGAUGCCAUGGAGUCAAGGAGGAAGUGAACACAACAUGGUAAGUCUGAGCUCAGAAGAAAUGUCAAAGCAUUAACCGGUGGGCAGAGCUUCAAGGGGAAGUCAGGAAGGAACUGGGCUCCUGUCACUCUGCCCACACGCUCCAUAUCGCAGCUGGAGAGGCCUGGGUCUGCAUCCCCUCGGUUUCUUAUCAUUAUUCCCACUAGUGUACAUUCUUUGGGCUCAGAUCCUUCCGUCUACCCAAUGAGGCUAGGUACAAGACUGUUUCUUUUCCUAACAGAGAGGAAAGAAAAGGUCUUGGCUGAUGACCUCCAGGUGACAGGGACACCUUAGCAGGUUACUCUGUACCUAUCCCAGGUUGCCGACCUCUCUGACAAAGAACGAACUCACCACUGCCAUCCAGGCAUGUCCAACCUCUGGUUAUUAUUCACUAUGUUGUCAUCUACAAAGUUCACCCCUAAUGACUGUGUAACCGAGUUUUAUAUAUGCAAAAAGAACCCCAUAAUCUUUGAUGAGGGGUUACAAUUCUAUGUUGGGUUGUGUUCAGAUAUUUUGAGGCAUAUGCAGCUCACAGGUAAGGCACACCUAGAAGACCUGUAGAACGCAGGGCUUACUGUGUAAACCUCUGAAGGCAUGCUCUACCAGUGAUACAGAAACACUCUGUGCUAUUUUCUGUCUCAGGGCACACAUGAAGACAUUGAAAAGAGAUUAUAUCAUCUAAAGAAUGUACACAACAGGUUCAGGGUCUUGGGAUACUAACCCACCUAUCCGAGGUACUUUGUUUUUUACCUUUGGAGAUAGCCAGAACGGCUGGUUUUGACAGCAGUGUCCACCAGGCCUUCUCGUCCUGCCAUGCAGUGGAAGAAGAACUCCUAUGAGGAAAGUGGGAGCCCGAUGUGGCAGUGAGUACCAUGCAGGGUCACCUUAUGCACCCUCUCCUAGCCAUGCAGAUUGUUCAUUUCCUAGAUUCUAGAAUCCUGGCUUUCAUAACCCCAAUAGCUCCUAAAGACUUGUGAUGCCCUGGGAUCGCUCUCUUCCUGCCUGAGGCGGAGGGACACGUGGAUCAAAAGCAACAGGAGUCAGAAGCCCUAAGUGCACUCCCUCAUGCAUCCUGAGGACACUGUAUGCCACUCUGCAGUGAGAAGCAAUGCUGGAGUUCACCGCUGUCCUGCAAAUCCCAGACCUGGAUCCUGUAGCUCAAAUAUUCCCUAAACUUUUCUGUUUAGUUUUGGGAUAAAGUCUUCAUAUGUCAUCUAAGCUA